rnacentral:rRNA from 1 species
CCCGUGAGGCGACAUACGGGUGAACAAAUGGAGGAGGGAGUUUCCUGGGCAAGGGAUAAAAGAAUAAAAAGCGGAACGUAUUUCGGUUGCG